CUCAGAUAUAAGAAAGGAUGAAGUCCUUCCUAGCCAUGGAAGAGCAAACUUUGUUGAUUGGCAAAGCUGGCACCACGUCGUUGGUAUCAGGUUCUGACUUGCACGAGGGACAGUC
ensembl:snoRNA